rnacentral:lncRNA from 1 species
CACAGACACAUACCGAGGGAAGAUGAUGUGAAGACACAGGGAGAAGACAGCCACCUACAAGGCAAGGAGAGAGGCCUCAGGAGAAACCAACCGUGCCAACAUUUUGAUCUCAAACUUCUAGCCUCCAGAACUGUGAGGAAACUGAGGCACAGAGAGCUCAUGCAACUUUCCCCGAGUCUUCCAACUAUUGUCUGAAGGACUUAAACCCAGGAAGUUGGUUACUGAAUUUAUUGUCUAACCAGUAAGACAUACUGCCUUUUUGUGUGGAGGAGGAAAAAGCAACAAAUUCUUCAACUACGCAGUUCUCCCUGGCUUGCGGCCCUCGUAUUUUAUGUGUUUUAUGGCUUAUGGAACAUGAAAAUCAUGUCAACUUUGUCACAGUUCCCAUCACACCUGACGUGCGGGAACAUUAUUGGUACCUAUGCUUAAAUCGAGAAAUAUCGUUUAAAAUUGAGAUAACAAUGUGGAAGCACCUAGCAUGAUGCACCUAGAUUCCCCAGUAGUUAGGAGUUUAUUAGGCUCCAUUGGAUCAAGUUAUUUUUUAAAAAGCAGAGGGUUUUUGGAAGCAUUUACGUAGACAAAAGGAAUCUCAGCUCCAAGCUGAGGCUUGGCAAGGCAAGUCUAAGAACUGGAUUUUCCAGUUAACCCUUGAGUAGCAGAAAUUUGUGAACCCUACCCCGUUAUGGUGACUUGGUUCCUCUUUUGUCUCUGCUUUCUCUACCUCUAC